CCUACGUGUGGCAGCAGUGGGGAAUAUUGGGCAAUGGGCGCAAGCCUGACCCAGCAACGCCGCGUGAAGGAAGAAGGCUUUCGGGUUGUAAACUUCUUUUCCCAGGGACGAAGCAAGUGACGGUACCUGAGGAAUAAGCCACGGCUAACUACGUGCCAGCAGCCGCGGUAAUACGUAGGUGGCAAGCGUGAUUGGGAUUUACUGGGGGUAAAGGGCGUGUAGGUGGGAAAGGAAGUCCGACGUGAAAAACAUGGGCUCAACCUGUGGCCUGCAUUUGGAACUGUUUUUCUGGAGUACUGGAGUGUGUGAGAGGAUAGUGGAAUUCCUGGUGUAGGAGUGAAAUCCGUAGAUAUCUGGAGGAACAUCAGUGGCGAAGGCGACUAUCUGGCACAUAACUGACGCUGAGGAGCGAAAGCGUGGGUAGCAAACAGGAUUAGAUACCCCAGUAGUC
rnacentral:rRNA from 1 species